GUACGGAGGGUGCGAGCGUUAAUCGGAAUUACUGGGCGUAAAGCGUACGUAGGCGGUUUGCUAAGUCAGAUGUGAAAGCCCCGGGCUUAACCUGGGAACUGCAUUUGAUACUGGCAGACUAGAGUAUGAUAGAGGGGGGUAGAAUUCCUGGUGUAGCGGUGAAAUGCGUAGAUAUCAGGAGGAAUACCAGUGGCGAAGGCGGCCCCCUGGAUCAAUACUGACGCUGAGGUACGAAAGCGUGGGGAGCGAACAGGAUUAGAAACCCUAGUAGUCC
rnacentral:rRNA from 1 species